GUGCUCUCUUUAGCAGCACAUAUGCUAAAAUUGGAACGGCAUAGAGAAGAUUAGUCUGGCCCCUGUGCAAGGAUAAAUUCAUAAAGUGUUUUAUAUUUUU
ensembl:snRNA U6 U6 spliceosomal RNA